UCCUGUACCAAUGAGUUCAAGGCUCUUUCUAGCUUUCUCUUCAACAGAUUUAGUGUGUCUGCAGUUAUAUUGAGGUCUCUGCUCCACUUGGAUUUGCUAUUUAUUUCAGGGAGAAAAAUAUGUAUCUAUUUGCAUUUUUCUACAUGCAGAGAUACAGUUAGACCAGCAUGGUUUAUUGAAGAGGCUGUCUUUUUCCAUUGUACGGUUCCGGCUUCCUUGUCAAAAAUCAAUUGACCAAAGAUGUUCAUUAUUGAGAGGUUGUAGUGGUGGAUUUUUCUUUCGGAGAAAUCAAAUGUUCAAACUACUCUCACAACAGCAAUCCAAAACAAACAAGCUGUUUUUGGAUGAACUACAAUUUUGUCUCAGACUCUGGUCCUCUCCAAAGUCACUGUGGACCAUGAUGAAAUCAUACAGAUUGUUGAAGAAAGAACCAAACAUGUUUUUCACCCACAUGGAGGAACCAGGUGUAGAGCCCCAGGGCUAUGGGAUUCCAAGAGUACAUGGAUGAGAGGAAAACAGAACAAUAAAAAGACAGCAAAUUCAGAGCAAGUCUGGCUACAGCAACAGAAAUAUCUCAGUACUGUGACCCUCAGAUGUCUGGACUUUGCUGCAGUGUGUGUGCUGGCCUGUCAUGAGAACCAUUGUGUAUGCACAGACUGAGAGCCUGAAGCAACAGUAGGAAGCAGCUGUAGCAUUCAAAGUCUUCUCUGAUAUUGUUGAGGUCUGAGCCUGUUCCAAGGCCUAAGCCAAUAAUCUCCUUGGAUCUGCCUUGACGCAGGGGUCUGUCUCUGUGUAGUGAAGAACCUGACAUGUCCCUUCCUUUGCUUUGCCUCAGCCUCCUCCUACAACCUGUGUAUGCAUCGAUGGAGUUUCCUCUGUUCACUUGUAGUUAUAAAGGAGAGACCAACACCUACAUGGAGGCAGAUGUUAACCUCGCUACAUUUAUUCCCAUUUCCAUCCCACUUGAUCUAUCACAAUACCUCCAUAUCCUUUUUGACAGAAAACCAACUCUACUAUGGAAGUUCGACCUAUCGAAAUGGAGAAACUAUCAAUAUUUGCUGACCUUAUACUUUGCCAUCGAAGAGAUCAAUAAGGACUCAAACCUGCUUCCCAAUAUAACCUUGGGUUUCCACAUCUAUAAUGCUUUUAUUUCUAACAAAAUAACCUUGGAGGGCCUUCUGAUGUGGCUGUCUGGAAGGAGUGAUUAUAUCCCUAACUACAAGUGCAACACUCAACACAAAGCUCUAGGAAUCAUAUCAGGAAACAAGCCAGAAUUUUCUGCUUCAAUUGCAACACUUUCAGAGCUCUACAAUGUCCCACAAGUAAGUUAGAAACAUAUUUUAUGCACAAUCACAUCUUAGAUCUGACCGAAACAAACAAACCAACAAAAGAACAAUAACAGAACAAACAAAAGAAAACAGAGAAGUGGAUUAUGUUUAGUGUAGGCAGAUUUCUAAGAGCAGUGGACGAAUUACUUUGAUAUGUUAAUAGUUAACAGAUGGCAGUGUUUGGUAAAAAGCAUGAACAGUAAAUUCUGGGAGUUUCUGAGAAGAUCACUUAGUAGUAUCCAUGAUUCUAUCUCCAAACAAUGGAUGAUGUACUGUGGAUGCUCAGUCUGCAUUUGAUAAUAAGUCAAAUUCUAUAGCAAAUGUACCUAACUCCCCAAUCUAGCAUAUAAACAUCUCAAAAUUCCUAUGGUUGUCAAUACCUGACAUAUGGAAAAAGAAAGUCCAGGACAUGUAACUGAGUUUGGAACAAUGUUUAAUGCCAUCAAAUAUGAAAAUCUUUCAAGGAAUUAAUUAUCUUAUUCAGGAAAGUGGAUCUAAGAAUAGCACCCACAGAUACCAUCCACUUAGCUAUAUCAUCACAAUUGACUAUUGCCAGGCUACACUGAAGAAAUGCAUCUAUCAGCAGGUAUUACUACAAACAGAAAAUACUUGGUGAGCACAAGAAUCAGCAAUAAUCAAGAUUAA